UAAGCGGAGGAAAAGAAACCAACAGGGAUUGCCCUAGUAACGGCGAGUGAAGCGGCAACAGCUCAAAUUUGAAAUCUGGCUACUUUGUAGUCCGAGUUGUAAUUUGUAGAGGAUGCUUUUGGUGAGGUGCCUUCCGAGUUCCCUGGAACGGGACGCCAUAGAGGGUGAGAGCCCCGUACGGUUGGAUGCCAAACCUUUGUAUAGCUCCUUCAACGAGUCGAGUAGUUUGGGAAUGCUGCUCUAAAUGGGAGGUAUAUCUCUUCUAAAGCUAAAUACCGGCUAGAGACCGAUAGCGCACAAGUAGAGUGAUCGAAAGAUGAAAAGCACUUUGAAAAGAGAGUUAAACAGCACGUGAAAUUGUUGAAAGGGAAGCGCCUAUGACCAGACUUGUCUCUAUCAGUUUUGCUAGUUUUCGGACUGGUUUACUCUGUUAGUACAGGCCAGCAUCAGUUUGUUGUUAGGGAGAAAGGCUUAGGGAAUGUGGCUCCCUCGGGAGUGUUAUAGCCCUUUGCAUAAUACCUUUCGGCAGACUGAGGACCGCGCUUCGGCAAGGAUGCUGGCGUAAUGGUCAUCAGCGACCCGUCUUGAAACACGGACCAAGGAGUCAACCUUAUGUGCGAGUGUUUGGGUGUAAAACCCCAGCGCGUAAUGAACGUGAACGUAGGUGAGAGCUUCGGCGCAUCAUCGACCGAUUCUGAUGUUCUCGGAUGGAUUUGAGUAAGAGCACACAGGGUUGGACCCGAAAGAAGGUGAACUAUGCUUGUAUAGGGUGAAGCCAGAGGAAACUCUGGUGGAGGCUCGCAGCGGUUCUGACGUGCAAAUCGAUCGUCAAAUAUGAGCAUGGGGGCGAAAG
rnacentral:rRNA from 2 species